rnacentral:rRNA from 1 species
CUGAAGCCUGGUGCUUGCACCGGGUGGAUGAGUGGCGAACGGGUGAGUAACACGUGAGUAACCUGCCCCUGACUUCGGGAUAAGCCCGGGAAACUGGGUCUAAUACCGGAUACGACUGCCGGACGCAUGUCUGGUGGUGGAAAGUUUUUUCGGUUGGGGAUGGGCUCGCGGCCUAUCAGUUUGUUGGUGAGGUAAUGGCUCACCAAGACGACGACGGGUAGCCGGCCUGAGAGGGCGACCGGCCACACUGGGACUGAGACACGGCCCAGACUCCUACGGGAGGCAGCAGUGGGGAAUAUUGCACAAUGGGGGAAACCCUGAUGCAGCGACGCAGCGUGCGGGAUGACGGCCUUCGGGUUGUAAACCGCUUUCAGCAGGGAAGAAGCGCAAGUGACGGUACCUGCAGAAGAAGUACCGGCUAACUACGUGCCAGCAGCCGCGGUAAUACGUAGGGUACGAGCGUUGUCCGGAAUUAUUGGGCGUAAAGAGCUCGUAGGUGGUUGGUCACGUCUGCUGUGGAAACGCAACGCUUAACGUUGCGCGUGCAGUGGGUACGGGCUGACUAGAGUGCAGUAGGGGAGUCUGGAAUUCCUGGUGUAGCGGUGAAAUGCGCAGAUAUCAGGAGGAACACCGGUGGCGAAGGCGGGACUCUGGGCUGUAACUGACACUGAGGAGCGAAAGCAUGGGGAGCGAACAGGAUUAGAUACCCUGGUAGUCCAUGCCGUAAACGUUGGGCACUAGGUGUGGGGGGCAUUCCACGUUCUCCGCGCCGUAGCUAACGCAUUAAGUGCCCCGCCUGGGGGAGUACGGUC